GUAAUUAACGGGGAGUUUAGAAGAUAAAUUACUACGCAAGAUUUGCAUAUGGCUCAUCUUCUUUCUUUACAAAGUACUGAAAAUGUUGUCAAUUGAAAUAAUUGAACAACCCGUUGUUUGUUUGGACAGUUUUAAUUGAAAAUCAUCUCAAAGAAUGUUAAAACAAUGAUAAUCUAUUUUUUAAUAAGAUUUAAUAUAGUAAAAAAAGUUAGUAGGACAUGUUCUUCUAAUCUUAGGUAUUACGCUUAGUAAAUACUAUAAUCCAUGCAAUAUAUAUUAUUCACUUUGAACUCACUUGUCGAACAAACGGAUCAAACAAUUGGAAUUAUUGGCAGCAGAAGAGUUGUCCCAAUCUCACAGACGCGACUGAACACACGGCGUCACCUUUCACUUUUCCAAGCCUUGGUCGUAAACACCGUCUUCACACGUGACCUCAAACACUUUGAAAUUUUAUAUCCCCACGGAUCUUGGAGAUGUAUGAAACCGGCAGAUUUUCCGAGAUUCAGCGAAACAAGCGCACAGUUGUGGUCUCGACAAGGGUUCAACGUAAACUAAA